AAAGAGACCAAUAUAAACUGUGGCGGGAAAUUCGUUUUUCGGGUCCUUGUGCAGUUAAACACCCGCGGUUGGGAAGUCAGUUGAUUGCUCUCAUCUCCUCGAGUUUGACCAUGGUGCGGACGAAAGCGGACAGUGUCCCAGGCACCUACAGAAAAGUGGUCGCUUCGCGAGCCCCCAGGAAAGUGCUUGGUUCCUCCACUUCUGCCACUAAUUCCACAUCGCCUUCGUCAAGGAAAGUUGAAAAUAAGUAUGCAGGAGGGAAUCCAGUUUGUGUGCGCCCAACUCCCAAGUGGCAAAAAGGAAUUGGAGAAUUCUUCAGCCUGUCUCCUAAAGAUUUUGAAAAAGAGAAUCGGAUUCCUGAAGAGGCAGGAAGCAGUGGCUUAGGAAAAGCAAAAAGAAAAAACUGUGAGAGUCCCCAGUUGGACUGACUUAGAGAGCAUCUGAAGGAUUUGACUAGGAAAAUACAAUGAAGUCCUCUUGGUAAUCUAAUAGUAGAGCAUGUCCUUUGCCACCUGAUCACUCAGAUGACGAAAAAGAAUAGAACUUUCUUAAUUCAUCCUUGACUAAUGUCUCCUGUUUAUUAUUCUAGGAUGUAAAUGCAUAAAUGUAUUUGUUCCAAUUAGCUUUGUUGAAUAGGCAUUUAAUUUAAAAAAUGAGGCUUAUAUACAGUUACUCCAAAGCAAGUGAUUAUGAUAUUGGAGAAUUUGUAAGAUUAAUUACGAUUACUUAGCUUAGUAUUCAGUAAACUGCAAUAUUUGGUUUCUUUUACCUUGUUGUUAUUAAGCUUCUUGUUCUCGCUAAAAAUUAAUCAUUGUGUGGUGUUCUAAUUACGAACCUGUGUUUGAGAUUGUUUAGAUCUUUGUACUGCUGCCAUUUUUAUUGGCAUUUGAUAAUUGGAAUGGUGCCAUAUUUUUGUUUCUUUUAUUUGCCUUAAGAAGCAGAGUUAGUUUUUUGCACAUUAAAAAAAUUCAGUAUUAAUUAAACUGAAACUAUACCCUUUUCAAGAAAGAGGGCCAAAGAUGCAAUGUUGAAAAAAUUUGGACGGCUAUGUAUCUUCUCCGUCAGGGCAAUUUGGCCUGAGGGUUUAAAUAGUUGAUAAAGCUUCUAACAACAACAAAACAGCUAAAAUACUAGCAUAGAAUUAGACAGGAAUAUUUCAUAGACUACACUAAGAGAGAAAUUUUCCAAGAAUAUGCAUUUGAUUCAGUAUCAUAAAAUAUUACCCUUUGGGCCUGUAAUUUUAAAGUUGGAAAUCAAUAAAACAUGAAAGGCAACAUACCAUAAAUCCAGAUAUCUGUCUAGAGUCCUUAGAGCUACCAUUAUACAUUUUAAGAUAACCAGGGGUAUAAUCGAAGGGGAGGAUAUAAUAUUAUAUCCUUGGAUAUAUAACUUAGUAACUGAUAUUCUUACUUUCUCAUCACAUUUUUUGCUCCUUGACCUCCUGUUGUCAAAAUUAACCAUGUUUUAACAAGUAUGUUUUGCUGAACUUUGUUUUUAAUAAAUGAAUACUUAUUUUCACAA